GGGCCCGCACAAGCGGUGGAGCAUGUGGUUUAAUUCGACGCGACGCGAAGAACCUUACCCAGACUUGACAUGCAUUAGACUGGUGUGGAAACACACCUUCCCUUCGGGGCUGGUGCACAGGUGCUGCAUGGCUGUCGUCAGCUCGUGUCGUGAGAUGUUGGGUUAAGUCCCGCAACGAGCGCAACCCUUGUCCUUAGUUGCUAACGGGUGAUGCUGAGCACUCUAAGGAGACUGCCGGUGAUAAACCGGAGGAAGGUGGGGAUGACGUCAAGUCCUCAUGGCCCUUACGUCUGGGGCUACACACGUGCUACAAUGGCCGGUACAGAGGGUUCCGAAACCGCGAGGUAGAGGUAAUCCCAAAAAACCGGUCUCAGUUCGGAUUGCAGUCUGCAACUCGACUGCAUGAAGUCGGAAUCGCUAGUAAUCGCUGAUCAGCAGGCAGCGGUGAAUACGUUCCCGGGCCUU
rnacentral:rRNA from 1 species